CCUACGGGAGGCAGCAGUGGGGAAUAUUGGACAAUGGGCGCAAGCCUGAUCCAGCCAUACCGCGUGUGUGAAGAAGGCCUUCGGGUUGUAAAGCACUUUAAGCAGGGAGAAAAAGUUAUAAGUUAAUACCUUAUAACCUUGAUGUUACCUGCAGAAUAAGCACCGGCUAAUUCCGUGCCAGCAGCCGCGGUAAUACGGAAGGUGCAAGCGUUAAUCGGAAUUACUGGGCGUAAAGCGCGCGUAGGUGGUUUGUUAAGUUGGAUGUGAAAGCCCUGGGCUCAACCUAGGAACUGCAUCCAAAACUAACUCACUAGAGUACGAUAGAGGGAGGUAGAAUUCAUAGUGUAGCGGUGGAAUGCGUAGAUAUUAUGAAGAAUACCAGUGGCGAAGGCGGCCUCCUGGAUCUGUACUGACACUGAGGUGCGAAAGCGUGGGUAGCGAACAGGAUUAGAUACCCUGGUAGUCCACGCCGUAAACGAUGACAACUAGCUGUUGGAAGACAACGUCUUUCAGUGGCGCAGCUAACGUUUUAAGUUGUCCGCCUGGGGAGUACGGCCGCAAGGCUAAAACUCAAAGGAAUUGACGG
rnacentral:rRNA from 1 species